AGUGAACGCUGGCGGCAGGCCUAACACAUGCAAGUCGAGCGGCAGCGGGUCCCCGCGAGGGGAUGCCGGCGAGCGGCGGACGGGUGAGGAACACAUCGGAAUCUGCCUGGUUGUGGGGGAUAACGUAGGGAAACUUACGCUAAUACCGCAUGCGACCCUGAGUCGACGGACUGGGGGUGAAAGUGAGGGACCUUCGGGCCUCACGCGACCAGAUGGGCCGAUGUCGGAUUAGCAGUUGGCGGGGUAACGGCCCGCCAAGGCGACGAUCCGUAGCUGGUCUGAGAGGAUGAUCAGCCACACUGGGACUGAGACACGGCCCAGACUCCUACGGGAGGCAGCAGUGGGGAAUCUUGGAC
rnacentral:rRNA from 1 species